GGGGGAACUUCGAAGUCUUUGAAACGCAGUUGCGCCCGAUGCCAUUAGGUUGAGGGCACGUCUGCCUGGGUGUCACAUAUCGAAGCCACCUGCCAAUUUUCCCUUUGAUUAUUGUGCAGGGUGGAUGUUGGCCUCCCGUGAGCUCUUUUGUCUCAUGGUUGGUUGAAAAUUGAGACCUUGGUAUGGUGUGCCAUGAUAGAUGGUGGUUGUGUGACCCACGAGACCAAUCAUGCGCUACUUUAUUAAAUUUGGCCUCUUUUGCCCAUAUGCGUUUCUAAACGCUCGUGAUGAGACCUCAGGUCAGGCGGGGCUACCCGCUGAAUUUAAGCAUAUCAAUAAGCGGAGGAAAAGAAACUAACUAGGAUUCCCUUAGUAACGGCGAGCGAACCGGGAUAAGCCCACCAUGAGAAUCGGUCGCCCUCGGCGUUCGAAUUGUAUCGAAAAAAAACCCUUAAAAAAGUU
rnacentral:rRNA from 1 species